rnacentral:misc_RNA from 1 species
GUCCAUUCUCUCUGCUCUAG